rnacentral:rRNA from 1 species
GACGUAGGGGGCAAGCGUUGUCCGGAAUCAUUGGGCGUAAAGAGCGUGUAGGUGGCUCGGUAAGUCCGCUGUGAAAGUCCAGGGCUCAACCCUGGAAAGCCGGUGGAAACUGUCGAGCUCGAGUCCGGAAGAGGCGAGUGGAAUUCCUGGUGUAGCGGUGAAAUGCGCAGAUAUCAGGAGGAACACCAAUGGCGAAGGCAGCUCGCUGGGACGGUACUGACACUGAGACGCGAAAGCGUGGGGAGCAAACAGG